CUUUGACCUAUAUUUGAUUCCCUCUUGCAAUAUGUGCUUUUGAUCAUGAAACUGCUGGGAAAAGGCUCCUUCUAAACCACAAAACAAGAUUCAUCACCACAUCAGUGAGAAGAUGCUAUGAAUCAUUGAGCAAAUAUGCAGAUGUAGAUAUAACCUGCUAUUCUCAACAAGUUUUAUUGUGAACAAAGUAAAACAAAACAAUUACCUCAGACUCUGAAGUAUUUAAUUGCUGGCAUCAUGCUUCCCAGUCCGUUGUUCUUCUUCUGAGCAAAUUUAGAAGCCCAAGCCACCACGGAGAUAUCAUAUGGACCUCCCAGACUGUGUGAGCAAGAAGUAAACCUUGGUUGGGAU